rnacentral:lncRNA from 1 species
GCUCAUCACAAAGUCGAUUCUUAAAAGAAUGUCCUGUCUUCCUUUCUUCCUUCUUCUUUGCCUCCUUGCUUUCUUGUUCACCCCUCUUCCUUCUUUCCCAAGUUCUUUGCUAUAUAAAUUAUUAUGACUGUACUAAUCACGCCAAGCUUUUUCAGGUCAAGUUUCAUUGUGUUCCCAUAAGCAAGAUGUGCCUGAAUUGUUAAUGGACCCCUGGGAAGAACAUCUCACGGUGGGACCCUGGCCAGCAGGGAAGCAAGGGGCAGAGAGCCAGGGCAGCCUCCUGGUGCCCCACCCUCCACAGGGGUGAUGGGCUAGGAGGACUGAAAAUCCAAAUCCAGCUACAAAGCCAUGGUGGAAGAAGCGACCGUGGCCAGGAUGAAUGUGGUGUCCCACAGAAUGCAGCAAACAGGACCGAGAACAUCAGACAUGCCUCACCUGUACUAACCCUGAAGAAGUAACGAGACGUGGACCAGACCUGCUCCCUGUCCUCAAGGAGCUCACUGUUUAGAGAAGACAGACACAGAGAUGAUUCCAACACACAAGGUUAAAUGUGGAAAUUCAGAGUUUGGAACUGGAGCACAAGUUUCAGGACAUUCCCCAGCCAGGUUGAUGCUGUGUCUGCUGGGCAUAAAAGUUGGAUUCAUGAAGUCCUGCCACACUACUCCCACCCGACCCCAAGAGGGCCAGUUAUGCAUGGCGGCUAAUCCCUAGAAGAAUCUUGAGCCAGCGUUCCUGUUCCCCUUUUACAGCCAAUCCGCUGCCUUAGAGGGGAAGGCGUUUUCCCAAGGUGGUGUCGUGAAAGAGGGGUGGAGCUGAGAUCGCGAGGUGGGUUUUGCCUUUACUUUUCCUGGUACGUCCAGAUAUUGUCCCAGCACUGGAACACGGCUGAGUUCCUUCUCUGUGCACUGACCUCAUUUCUGGUGCUGCCACGGAACGGGAGCUGAGCGAGCCCGUCGGAAACAUCCGCCAGGGAUCGCAGUGGCAGCAUUAUGGGUUUUUUUUGUUUUUUGUUUUUUUUUGUUUUUCCUCUAAAACAAGGCUCUGACGGAGACAAUAGAUGUAGAAGUGGUGAAUGUACAUAGGAAGUCAUUUUCUGGCUCCGACAAAUAAAAUAAGA